CGCACAUUGCGCCUUCUGGUAUUCCGGGAGGCAUGCCUGUUCGAGCGUCAUCAAACACAUCCUCAAGCACUUUUGCGCUUGGUAUUGGAGGAAGAUGUGUCUGCAUCUCCUCUCAAAUCCCUCAGCGGAAAGUACUGCAGUCUCAGGUGUCAUAAGAUUCACCCUUUUGCUUGAUAACUGCCAGUAGCUUCUUGCUGCGAAGAGCCCCCCAGCUAUUCAUUUAAGUUUGACCUCGAAUCAGGUAGGGAUACCCGCUGAACUUAA
rnacentral:misc_RNA from 1 species